rnacentral:rRNA from 1 species
AACGAACGCUGGCGGCAUGCCUAACACAUGCAAGUCGAACGAGACCUUCGGGUCUAGUGGCGCACGGGUGCGUAACGCGUGGGAACCUGCCUUUAGGUUCGGAAUAACUCAGAGAAAUUUGAGCUAAUACCGGAUGAUGUCUUCGGACCAAAGAUUUAUCACCUUUAGAUGGGCCCGCGUUGGAUUAGCUAGUUGGUGGGGUAAAGGCCUACCAAGGCGACGAUCCAUAGCUGGUCUGAGAGGAUGAUCAGCCACACUGGGACUGAGACACGGCCCAGACUCCUACGGGAGGCAGCAGUGGGGAAUAUUGGACAAUGGGCGAAAGCCUGAUCCAGCAAUGCCGCGUGAGUGAUGAAGGCCUUAGGGUUGUAAAGCUCUUUUACCCGAGAUGAUAAUGACAGUAUCGGGAGAAUAAGCUCCGGCUAACUCCGUG